UGGGGAAUAUUGGACAAUGGGCGAAAGCCUGAUCCAGCCAUGCCGCGUGUGUGAAGAAGGUCUUCGGAUUGUAAAGCACUUUAAGUUGGGAGGAAGGGCAUUAACCUAAUACGUUAGUGUUUUGACGUUACCGACAGAAUAAGCACCGGCUAACUCUGUGCCAGCAGCCGCGGUAAUACAGAGGGUGCAAGCGUUAAUCGGAAUUACUGGGCGUAAAGCGCGCGUAGGUGGUUUGUUAAUUUGGAUGUGAAAGCCCCGGGCUCAACCUGGGAACUGCAUCCAAAACUGGCAAGCUAGAGUAUGGUAGAGGGUGGUGGAAUUUCCUGUGUAGCGGUGAAAUGCGUAGAUAUAGGAAGGAACACCAGUGGCGAAGGCGACCACCUGGACUAAUACUGACACUGAGGUGCGAAAGCGUGGGGAGCAAACA
rnacentral:rRNA from 1 species